GUUAAACCAAUAAAACUAAGUUAUACAAAGUUGGUAAAAAUACAGUGAGGUGAUUUAAUUUAGUUAAUGAUUCUUUAUAUAAAGGUAAAAUUUAUAUAAUAUAAUAUUCCAAAAAAACUAUAUUACUGAAUCUGUGAUAUCUUUUAGGGAAACUGGGAUUGGAUACCCCAUUAUUUCUAGAUAUAAAUAAUAUCUUACCAGAGCACUACGAAUAUAAUAAUUUAAAACUCAAAGGGCUUGGCGGUAUUUUAGACCUUUUAGGGGAACCUGUCUUAUAAUCGAUAAUACACGCUAAACCUUUCCUUUUUUAGCACUCAGUUUGCAUACCGUUGUCGUCAGGUAACUUUUAAAAAUAUAAUAGUUAGCUAUAAAAUUAGAUUAAUUUAGAUGUCAAAUCAAGGUGCAGCUUACAAAAAGGAAAAGAUGGGUUACAAUUUUAUAGUUAUAAUACGGACGGCUAAUUGAAAAUAACCUAAAGGAGGACUUAAAAGUAAAUAUAUUUAUACAAAUAUUUUGAACAAGGCUCUAAGAUGCGUACACAU
rnacentral:rRNA from 1 species